rnacentral:rRNA from 1 species
AUUGAACGCUGGCGGCAGGCUUAACACGUGCAAGUCGAGCGGAGCGAGGGUGCUUGCACCUUAGCUUAGCGGCGGACGGGUGAGUAAUGCUUAGGAAUCUGCCUAUUAGUGGGGGACAACAUUCCGAAAGGAAUGCUAAUACCGCAUACGCCCUACGGGGGAAAGCAGGGGAUCUUCGGACCUUGCGCUAAUAGAUGAGCCUAAGUCGGAUUGGCUAGUUGGUGGGGUAAAGGCCUACCAAGGCGACGAUCUGUAGCGGGUCCGAGAGGAUGAUCCGCCACACUGGGACUGAGACACGGCCCAGACUCCUACGGGAGGUAGCAGUGGGGAAUAUUGGACAAUGGGCGGAAGCCUGAUCCAGCCAUGCCGCGUGUGUGAAGAAGGCCUUUUGGUUGUAAAGCACUUUAAGCGAGGAGGAGGCUACUUAGAUUAAUACUCUGGGAUAGUGGACGUUACUCGCAGAAUAAGCACCGGCUAACUCUGUGCCAGCAGCCGCGGUAAAAC